CGGGGCGUAGCUCAGGGGUAGAGCAACAGCCGUGUAAGCUGGGGGUCGGAGGUUCAAAUCCUUCCGUCCCGACCA
rnacentral:tRNA from 1 species